CGCCAUUUGGGUUUCUCUUCUUCGGUUCCUCCCAAAGUCGGCGGCGUCACCUCUCAUUCUCCUCUCCUCUUCCUCUCUGCGUCUCCUCCAUUAUCCCGCAGGGUGGGAUGGAUUCGGACGAGGGGAAGUUGUUCAUCGGCGGGAUUUCGUGGGAGACCUCUGAGGAGAAGCUCAGGGAACACUUCGGGAACUAUGGGGAGGUCCUCGACGCCACCAUCAUGAGGGAUAAGACCACUGGCCGCCCCAGGGGCUUCGGAUUCGUCGUCUUCGCCGAUCCCUCCGUCCUCGACCGCGUCCUCCAGGACAAACACAACAUCGAUGGCCGCAACGUGGAAGCCAAAAGGGCUCUUUCGAGAGAAGAGCAGCAAACAUCUGUCAGGUCUGGGAACCCCCCUGUCGGGAGGUCAGUGGGAGCAGGUGCUGGUUCAAGCAUCAGGUCCAAAAAGAUAUUCGUUGGAGGGUUGCCACCCACCCUGACAGAAGAUGGAUUUCGUCAGUACUUUGAGGCCUACGGCACUGUAACUGAUGCAGUUGUGAUGUAUGACCAAAAUACCCAUCGCCCUCGAGGCUUUGGGUUCAUCUCUUUUGAUUCAGAGGAUACCGCUGAUGAAGUUCUUCUCAAGCCCUUUCAUGAUAUGAAUGGCAAGCUUGUGGAAGUCAAGCGUGCCCUUCCAAAAGAUGCAAAUCCAAACACUGGUAGCGGCCGAUCAAUGGCCGGUGGGUCGUAUCCGUCAUAUGGUGGUUCUAGUGGUAACUCUAGCUCAUAUGAUGGUAGGCCAGAUGCUAAUAGGUACAUGCAACCUCAAUCAGGAGGCGGUGGAUAUCCAGCCUACGGCUCCUCUGGCUAUGGUGCACCUGGUUAUGGGUUUGGAGCAGCAAAUAAUGGUGUUGGUUAUGCAGGUUAUGGUGUUGGGGGCUAUGGAAAUGCCGCUGGGGGGUACGGUGGACCUCCUGGGACCUAUGCAAAUCCUAAUGCUCCUAAUGCUGGUUAUGUAAGUGGUACCCCAGGUGGUCAAAGGAACCUUUGGGGUAAUCAAGCUCCAGCUGGUUAUGGUUCUGCAAGCUAUGGUGGAAGCACAGCCUAUGGUCCAGCCCCCUCAUGGAAUUCUUCAGCAGCCAGUGGAGGAUCUGGUGCAGCGCCAACCGGCCAAAAUGGGUCCUCUGGUUACAUGAAUCAGGGUUAUGGUUAUGGUGCAUAUGGAGGGUCAGAAGGGCCUUAUGGUAACCAAGGUGGCUAUGGGUCUGUUGGUGCACGCGGUAGUGGCGGUUCAGUUACCAAUCCGUCGGGCAACUCAGGUGAACAAGGACCUGGAUCUGCUUACAUGGGUGGUGGGUAUGGAGAUGCUAAUGCAGGUUCGGGUUAUCCAAAUGCAUGGAGGUCUGACCCUUCACAGGGAGGGCCGUAUGGAGCAUCUCAUGUGAAUGGGCCCCCUGGUGGUCCAGUUAGUUAUGGAGGUGGUUAUGGUGGUCCACAGGGCAGGCAAGCCCAGCAGCAGUAACUGCAGAAGGAUUUCAGUUCCAACUGGGUAUUCAUGAAUGAGGGUUGGUUUUCUUAUUUAUGCAGCUACUGCCUCUCUUAUGAGCUUCUUGGGCCAUUGUCUGGCGCAUCGCAAAGAAAAUCAAACUUCAUCCCGGGCGGCGCCGCAUAUGAAAUUGCCUCCCACUCUACCAAAUGAAGCUUCUUGCAGAGUAAGGUGCAAAAGCAUUGAGGAAGCUGUCACAUGCUUGUGGUGUUUAUUGAGCCAGAACACUUAAAAACAUUGAUGGUUUGAUGUUUCAGUUAUAUGGAGGUCCCUUGGCUCGCAUGAGAUGCUGGUGGUAUGUUAGAGAUGAUAUACAUCCAUCUAUGAGAUUUUUGGAUGCAUUUUCUCUAUUAACGUGAGAUUUAGUAAAUAAUUGUUAUAGAUGGUCACCGGUCAUGAAGUAGCUGGUUUAAGUUGAAUUCUGUGAAAACAAAUAGGCUAUCCUUGAAAAACAUGAUAUAGGAGCAUUGCUUAUUCAAUAGUUUUGAUCUUAUUCCGUUUUAAUUUCAUAUAAAUGUUAAGAAUGAUAGUAAGUUAUGGUUCAGGUGCUAUUUAUUAA